CAGGUUGAAACAUCAUUUCAGUAAUUUCAAUGGACCCUCUGUAUUUUGUUCUAAGUACUCAGUUUACACAUCUACCAAAUAAUGUCACACCUCAGAGCUCUGCCUCAGGAGAUAUGGGACGGCUUCCAGAAGCAUUCUUUUAGGACCUCUUCUCCCUUCUGUUCUCAGCUUUUACACCUAACAGGUUGUUCCACUCUUAAAAUAGCCCAGAGCUUUGUUCCUCUUCUGUUCAUGGCAAAAGAAGUGCACAACUACCUCUCCAACGUUCAGGAAGAGAAUGGGUGAAACAAGCUUUUCCAGUUUUCAGGAGAUUUUUACACACUUUCAUCCACAGAACUCCAAGAACCAGUCACAGAAAAUAGCACUGCCGUUGACAAUUCACCAUGUUGUCAAUAGUUACUGUCAUUACCUAAUGAUCCAUUCAUAUGAUGUGAAUCCAUUCCACCCAGUCCACUCAUCGGCCCAUCUGACCCUGGUCCCAGGGGAAACUACAAAAGGAACAGACAUUAAAAACUGUACAAAUAUUUUUUAGACAACCUAAUAAAGAGAAAAUAUUCCUCAAGAGGAAAAAUAAAAACAGUAAAGGAAAAAUUCACAGUCCCAGCUCUGAAUGAGAAGGGACUCUCAAGUUCCAUUCAGACUUUUAAGAGAAGGUCUUCUACAUGAAGACAGAAAACCAUCAUUGCUAUUGGUCACUUUAAUGAUUUUUGGAGACUGUCAUCUCUGUAGGCUGGUCUAUAACUUAGGAAUAAUUUAUUAUUUACUUAAACACUAUAUGUAUGACUUUCCAACCUGCUGGUGCUGACCAAACCCUACUCCCAUUGACGUUACAGGGAACUUUAUUACUCCCUUAAAUUAUUAAUUUAAGUCAUUAAUUACCAGCUUUCAAACCCUGACUGCUCCACAUUACCUUUGCAACUGGAGCAGUUUCUGUCCAAUUUCAUAUAUUAAUCUUAAAUUUACCUCUUCACAAAAUUAAAGACAUCAACAUUAUGACAAAAACAAUCUACAAUUUACUGCAUAAUGAUUUAUCAGUAUUUAUAGAUAAUUAUUUUUAAGUUCCACUGGUGGUUUUUUCCCAAGGGCCCACAACUGAAGGGCCACCCAUAAGAAUGGAAAACUUAGCAAUAAUGCUACCUGAUGGAAAUGCAAUGUUUGGAUACACAAAAGGCUGCAUAAUUCAAAGAAACAUACAGCUAAAUUCAUAUUUACAUUAGGUCUGUUGGGUCCAGGAGGUACAGCAUUCAUUAAAGUGUACAUGUUGUCUCCAGAGUUGGUUGAAUCUGUAAUAAGAUAUUAUUUUAAGCGCUAAUAUACACUUUUCAAUAAAACUACUCACCUAAUACAUUUCCUGUCAUUUCUGUGCCUGGAUCCCUGAUACACAGUGGCAAGAUAAUGGAAGAUUUUAUUCCCUUUCUACCCGUUGCUGCCACACAAGAAAAGAAAAAAUUGCCAUGGUCCCUCAGUAACUACCUCUGGUCUCUGGUUUUUAUGCAUGACUGUUAAAAGGUUUAUAAAUCACCAAGUAUCUGUAACUAUUUAAUUCCAUAUUGCUGUUUCCUGGAGUCCUAAAUUACUUCACUCAUCUUCAAUAUUCUCUAUAAAACAGGAGUUUGUUUCUGAUCAAUGCUUCCUGCAAUUUGUUUUCCAUCUGUAAGAAAAGAUAAAACAACUUUUCCUUACACAGACUGUGAGCUAGUGAAGGUUUUUUACUCUCAUGCCUGUCAGUCUAUUUGAUUUUGGGUAUAUCCAGCUCCUCAGUGGGACACUGUGCACCAAUCUCCACUCUUGAGGGAGGCUUUGUCUUCAUGGUAUAGCAUGGUGCAAUGCUUCAACCCCCUCCCCCAAACGUUGAAAACCUAAGGAAAGUCUAAACGCAUCCCUAAAGGUACAGCAUGAUUUAACAGAAAAUAUUGGCAACCCCGGAAAAUAAUUUUUUUCUGCAAAGAGAAUAAAGAGAGCUCAGCACUCUGUACCCAGACCCUGCACAAGGCCAUUCCACAUCCAAUGCAUUUCUGUGUACACAGGGAAGUUAAAUCAAGGCUUUUGUCUACAGUUUCAUCUUCCUCAAAUGACUCUCUAAGUGUUAAUUUAAAAUAAAUAAUUGAGUUAUAUACAGAGCACUAUAUAUCACUAGAAUAUUCAAACAUGCUGUCCAAAGAAAAGGGGGACACAAAAGGCUUUCAGCCUAAAGUAAAAUCAGCAUUUUAAGUUAUUUUUAAUAUUCAGUAAGGUAGGCAAAAAGUUCUUUAUCCAAGAUACAUCCCUGGCUCUGCCCAUGUCCUGCUAGCUCAUGAAAAAUACACAUGGUUGGGCUGUGGGAAUCCUUGAAUUGUUUGUCUCAGGGGAGAGAGUAA